rnacentral:lncRNA from 1 species
AGUAUAACAAUGAGUGUGUUUUACUGAAACACAGAAAAUUAUUUCAAGAUGGGGUUGACCAUUGUUUCCCAAACUUUCAGGAACUGAUCCGUGUAUUACCAGUUCAAAAAGAAAAGGCGGAGGAGAGAAUGGCAGUAGAGUCAUGCUGGCCGGAAGUCACCUGCAAAUGACUCAGGAGCGGCAAGAAGAGGUUUUCUCAUUGAAUUCGCACAAUGACCUUGACAUAUGA